GACGUAGGGUGCGAGCGUUGUCCGGAUUUAUUGGGCGUAAAGAGCUCGUAGGCGGUUCCGUAAGUCGAGUGUGAAAAAUCUGGGCUCAACCCAGUGGAGCACUCGAUACUGCGGUGACUGGAGUACGGUAGAGGAGUGUGGAAUUCCUGGUGUAGCGGUGAAAUGCGCAGAUAUCGGGAAGAACACCCAUGGCGAAGGCAGCUCUCUGGGACGGUACUGACGCUGAGACGCGAAAGCGUGGGGAGCAAACAGG
rnacentral:rRNA from 1 species